GCCUCAUUGACUUAGUAGCAGAGCGUCUAUUUUGUGAACAGAAGGUCGCUGGUUCGAUUCCAGCAUGGGGCA
rnacentral:tRNA from 1 species